UACGAAGGGUGCAAGCGUUACUCGGAAUUACUGGGCGUAAAGCGUGCGUAGGUGGUUUGUUAAGUCCGUUGUGAAAGCCCUGGGCUCAACCUGGGAAUGGCAGUGGAUACUGGCAAGCUAGAGUGCGGUAGAGGGUAGUGGAAUUCCCGGUGUAGCAGUGAAAUGCGCAGAUAUCAGGAGGAACACCGGUGGCGAAGGCGGUUCUCUGGGCCUGUUCUGACGCUGAGGAGCGAAAGCGUGGGGGAGCGAACAGG
rnacentral:rRNA from 1 species